UUUCGCAAUGCCCGAAAGGGUGACGAAGCGACGCCGCGUGUGGGAAGAAGGCCUUCGGGUUGUAAACCACUGUCGGGAGUUAGGAAAUGCAGGUGCGUUAAUAGCGCACUUGCUUGACUAAGGCUCCAGAGGAAGCCACGGCUAACUCUGUGCCAGCAGCCGCGGUAAUACAGAGGCGGCAAGCGUUGUUCGGAAUUAUUGGGCGUAAAGAGCACGUAGGCGGCCUUGCAAGUCAGUUGUGAAAGCCUUCCGCUUAACGGAAGAACGGCAUAUGAUACUACAGGGCUUGAGUACGGGAGGGGAGAGUGGAACUUCUGGUGGAGCGGUGAAAUGCGUAGAUAUCAGAAGGAACGCCGGCGGCGAAAGCGACUCUCUGGUCCGAAACUGACGCUGAGUGUGCGAAAGCUAGGGGAGCAAACGGGAUUAGAUACCCCGGUAGUCCUAGCCGUAAACGAUGGGCACUAAGUAGAGGGGUUUU
rnacentral:rRNA from 1 species